AUUACAAGUACCGUGAGGGAAAGUUGAAAAGCACUUUGAAAAGAGAGUGCAAGAGAACGUGAAACCGAUAUAAUGGAAGCGAAUGGAGCUGACGUAUCUUGUGCGUAUUCAAUCCCGCGACACUGCAAUCGCUUCGACGACAUUCCGCAAGGUUGUCUAGGAGUGUUGUUGUUGUGCUCGUUGGAUGCAUUUGCGUGCGGAGUGCGCCGAGUGGGUCGAUGUCGCUGCCGGAAGGGCGUAUAGAGGACUCGGGUUUUCGGACUCGAGAAUCCUGUGCGUUCGGAUAGCAGGUGAUGUUGGCUCGCUGUUGUGGAGUGCGGGUGAAUUCGCGAUGGGCGUCGGUUGUGAGUUGUGGUUGCGGAUGGCACAUGUGUCUUCCGUUUCCGCGGCCUACGAUCGGCGUUCGUUGCCCCGGCACUCGACUCGGUGUAUAGUCGGUCACCCAUUCGACCCGUCUUGAAACACGGACCAAGGAGUUUAAGGUGUACGCGAGUCAUUGAGCUGCGAAACUCAAAGGCGUAAUGAAAGUGAGACAUUGGAUGUCGACGAUGUGAGCGUUGGGCGUUUCGACGUCCGGCGCGCAACAUCGCCCCGUGACUAGGACUUGUUCUGUUGCGGAGGUUGAGCGUACGCUUUGAGACCCGAAAGAUGGUGAACUAUGCCCGAACAGGAUGAAGCCAGAGGAAACUCUGGUGGAAGUCCGAAGCGGUUCUGACGUGCAAAUCGAUCGUCUGAUUUGGGUAUAGGGGCGCAAGACUAAUCGAACCAUCUAGUAGCUGGUUCCUUCCGA
rnacentral:rRNA from 1 species